rnacentral:tRNA from 1 species
GGGCAGGUACUCAAGCGGUCAACGAGGGCAGACUGUAAAUCUGCUGACGAAGUCUACAAAGGUUCGAAUCCUUUCCUGCCCA